GCUUGGUUAUUUUCGUUUUCUUUUCAUUAAAAUGUCUUCCAUUUCUACAGAAAAUGUAAAAAGAAUUAUUUGCAUUGAAGAUUCAAUUCGACCUUUCUUAUGUGAACUACAUUUUUAGACCGGGUCAAACUGAAUAUUGAUGGCCCGCACAUGGUCCGGUGGUCCCUUAGUUUCAUCACCUAGCCGACCAUUCAUUGAAUUAAAUUUUAGUGUGCACAAAAAGUCUACUAGUCAAGCAUCAACCUUUAUAUUUAAAUAUUUAAUUAAUUAAAGUAUAUAUUUUUCUUAAAUGCAGCUACCUUUUCAAAUUAAAGUGGUGGACGAGAUGGCUAUAUCACCGGCCAAAAUUUGAACAUCCUUAUUUAAUUUAUGAAAACUAUGGUUGGAUAUAACAAGAUAAACAAUUUGUAAUGUGUCGUAUGUGAUAAACAAUUUAUAUCAAAUGAUGAGAUAGUGGCUAUAGUGAUGUAGUCAUGUUUAUCCAGAAAAAAAUGUAUUUUAUCUUAAUUUUAAGAAAUUCAAGUAGCAACUUCAAACAUAAUUUUAGAUAAUGUUUUGAGCUUGCAUCGGGUUGAAAAGUCAACCUCUCUUCGGGUUCGGCGAUAUUAACUUGGAAAUCAUCUAAGUGGCUCGCAGAAUCAAUUGUUCGAUAAGAUCCCUCCGCUUCAAAUACUUGGGCUAUCAAGUGUCAAGACUCAAUACCUCAAUUUAUUUGGUGAUUCCUGAAUUUUAAAAAAUUACAUAAUAUCAGGUUGGAACAAAUUUGAGUUUUCGGUUCUCCAAAUUUGAGCUUUCCAUUAUCUCAGGGUGGUAUAAUCUUAAUCCAUAUCUUUUAUACUUAUACUCUUAUAGUGUAACAUCCCGAAUUUCAGGUGUGUCUCUUAAACCCUUUUCCUUUUCCAAGGUUGUCAAGUUAAGCCCUUAAUUGAAAUAUUAAGGCAAAUGAGUACGCUGGGCGUACUGAAGAGUAUGCUGCGCAUACUCAUGCGCUUUAAUUGGGCGCGAACUCGCCUAGGUACGCUGGGCGUACCCAAGGUUACGCUAGGCGUAGCGGGCCCAGAUGCAAACCCUAAUUUAUGGCUUGUGCACUAUAAAAGGAAUGCUAAGGCCUUAUCCUCAGCCACCAUUUCAGAGAGUGGAAUCCUAAGAAAGCAUUUCCUUAGUCCUAAAGCUUGUGUGUGAGUGUUUUGAGCUAAAAGUGACUUUGUGUGUUAGUGAAGAAGAAGGAGGGGUACUUGUGGAGGCUAAGGUUUGGAGUUCAAGCUUGGAUCUAAGUUCUUCAGAGGAAGGAGCUUCACUUUGAGGCGGAGGCUAGACCAGAUUUUACCGAGUUCGAGAUUUACUGAGUUACCCGAGGUACCAGUGAGGAUCGUGGGAAGGCGCCGACAUGAUCAGUACACACUAUUGGAGUUUCAUACAUUUUGAUCUUGGGAUGUGAUUUUAUGGAUUUGUUAUGUGGUACAUUGAGAACUGAUAAUCUUUAUGAAUGAAAUUACAUUUUUAAAAAAGUUAAAAUUUUGUUUGAAAUUUACGUUGUUACACGUUGGUAUCAGAGCCUUGGUUUGAGGGAUUCGGGUGCACCUUCGGGCGUAUCUUAACUCAAACUGUGGACUUGAGAGAUUUUCAAAAAUAAAACCAUAAUUUUUUUUAAAGAUAGUAAAAGGUUUUGAAAAGAGCAGAGCAGAUCAGUGUGUACAAUCAGCCAGCGCCCAAACGGUGAUUUCCCAAAAUACCCUUAUAUUAUGCAUUAUGAGAUAUGACAUGAUAUGUUGUGCAUGUUAGAGUAGGCUAUGUAUUCUUAUUUGCACUAGAGUGGCAUGAUUUGUGAUGCCUUAGCCUAGGGAUUUUGCUGCUAGGAGACGCUUGAGAGUGAGUAUGUAGCAGCGAGGAGUUUUUGAGAGGUCUGCUAGAGAGUAACUUAUGCAUAGUGAGAGUAGAGUACUCGGGAUUCGGGAUCCUAGGAGGAGGACUUGCGGUGAAUAUUGAUGCAGUGUGGAGGUUAGUAUUGGGCCCGUGCUACUGAAGACACCGGAUCAGUACGCAACCCAAGUAAGAAUCCUUAGGUGCUAGUGAUCGAGUAGGAAUGGGAUAUCGAGUGCGUGCAUACUCGAGCGAGACUUUGAUAUUUUGUGUUGUAUUUCAGAUACAUCAUGGUUGGGACACGCCACAAACCUGAGAGCAGCGGCGUUAGUGAUGAGGAGCUCCGCCAGAUGAUCCAUGAGGAGGUGGCUGCGACGAUCCGUGCAAAGAUACCAAAGAUGUUUGGGUCUAUUAAGACCACCCUGAUUGAGACAUUCGACGAGAGGUACGCAACGGUUACUGAGGCUGCGGCCACUGCGGCUGUUGCUGCUACUAGACCUCAAGGUGGCGAUUCGUUGCUGUUCCGGGAGUUCAACAACAUGAAGCCACCAGAGUUUGAUGGGACGUAGGAUCCGAUUGCUGCGAUGAUAUGGGUUUCUGACAUCGAGGGAUGCUUCUAUACAUGUUCUUGUCCGGAGCAUCUGAGAGUUCGGUUCGCGCUGAGCCAGCUUCACUUAGGAGCGAAGGAUUGGUGGAAGUUUAUGACAACACUGUUGGAUUAAUGUCUAAGUCCAUAACUAUAUUUGGUAUGUACUUGACCCGACCCGGCAUGGUCCAUUUGGG